rnacentral:rRNA from 1 species
UACGAAGGGGGCUAGCGUUGCUCGGAAUCACUGGGCGUAAAGCGCACGUAGGCGGAUUGCUAAGUCAGGGGUGAAAUCCUGGAGCUCAACUCCAGAACUGCCUUUGAUACUGGGAAGCUUCGAGUCCGGAAGAGGUGAGUGGAACUGCGAGUGUAGAGGUGAAAUUCGUAGAUAUUCGCAAGAACACCAGUGGCGAAGGCGGCUCACUGGUCCGGUACUGACGCUGAGGUGCGAAAGCGUGGGGAGCAAACAGG